AUUGAACGCUGGCGGCAUGCUUUACACAUGCGAGUCGAACGGCAGCGCGGGCUUCGGCCUGGCGGCGAGUGGCGAACGGGUGAGUAAUACAUCGGAACGUGCCCAGUAGUGGGGGAUAGCUCGGCGAAAGCCGGAUUAAUACCGCAUACGACCUGAGGGUGAAAGCGGGGGAUCUUCGGACCUUGCGCUAUUGGAGCGGCCGAUGCCGGAUUAGCUAGUUGGUGGGGUAAAGGCCUACCAAGGCGACGAUCUGUAGCUGGUCUGAGAGGACGACCAGCCACACUGGAACUGAGACACGGCCCAGACUCCUACGGGAGGCAGCAGUGGGGAAUUUUGGACAAUGGGCGAAAGCCUGAUCCAGCAAUGCCGCGUGUGUGAUGAAGGCCUUCGGGUUGUAAAGCACUUUUGGCGGGAACGAAAAGGACUGUGCCAAUACCACGGUUCGAUGACGGUACCCGCAGAAUAAGCACCGGCUAACUACGUG
rnacentral:rRNA from 1 species